rnacentral:misc_RNA from 1 species
UAUGGCCGCCAACGUGAAAAUCCAAGAUUUAGCUUCCAGUGAUGAACUAACCUCCCUUGGUAAGUCCCUGACGAAUAUUGAAGAUAAUCUCGAGCGUUUUAUAACUUAUGAUAAGAAACAUAGUGCUGUGAUAUUGUCUGUUUUACGGGAACUCUUCAAUUACAACAAGAUAGACGAGGUGAUUUGUGGACGAAAGAUAGAGACUUGUCCUUUCGAAAGUUUACAACUGGAUCCAAUGAACUUCGACGAUGAGGUGAUAUGGCAACAAAUUCAACUUCAGAAUAAAUCUUUGAUACAAGAAAUAAAGACUGGAUUCAAACGUCUUCUUAAGAAGGAGAUUUAUUUGCAUUUAAAUGAUGAAGAAUGUAGUAGGAGUAAGGAAAGUGACGUGAUCACGUUGGAUAAAAAUGAAAUUCCUGCUGAUUUGGCUGAGUCAAGUUCUUGUGGAAAUAAUCAUGCUGAUAGCCUGCUGGAGGAAAAUACUGAUGAAGAGAUGGCAAAAAGUAUUGAAAAAAGAUCGAAACCCAAGAAAACCAGUUUCAAAGGUUCCAUUGUGGAUGAUCAGUUCUUUAAGUUGGCCGAAAUGGAGAGGUUUCUUGAAAGCAAGCAUGCCAGAGAUGACGCUUCUUCAGAUGGGAGUGAUGAUGAUGAAAAUAUUGAUUAUUUCACGGAUUUAAAUAAAGGGGAUGGCACAUCAAAUUUUGUUGAAAAAAAUGUUUCUCAAAGUGUGAUGUAUUCCGAUUAUUUUGACAUUCCUGAUGAUCUGACUGAAGAAAAGAUAGGUAAUGAUCAGAAGAGUGAUGAAAGUGUGGAUGAUGAUUUUCAAGAUAAGGAUAGUAGUGACUAUGAAGAGACAGAAGAAAUUUCCAGUGCUUUAGUUCUACCUGAUGAUGAUAUUGGUACCAAAUCAACAUUGGAAAAACAACAAGAAAGGGUGAAGAAACAAAUUACAGCAUUAGAGGAUAGCAAUGUUGCUGCAAAGUCGUGGCAACUCACAGGAGAGAUAUCAGCUUCUGCUCGACCCUCAAACAGCCUUUUAGAGGAAGUCUUGCAGUUUGAUCAUACAACUGCUGGUGCUCCUGUAAUCACUGAGGAGACAAGUAAAACGCUUGAAGAAAUUAUUAUACAGAGAAUUAAAGAUGGUGCUUGGGAUGAUGUUGAGAGGAAACAAAAGCCAGUGAAAGAACCUUAUGAAUAUAAAAAACCUCAGCCUCUUAAUCAAGAAAAAAGUAAAAUGAGUCUCAGUGAAAUCUAUGAAAAAGAAUAUCUUCAACAACAGAAUCCUGAAGUAGAACAAGAGAAUGAAGAACAUCAAGAAAUUGAGAAAUUAAUGAAGUCUCUCUUUUCAAAAUUGGAUGCCUUAACUAACUUCCAUUUUACUCCUAAACCGCUCAAAUCUGAAGUGAAUAUCGUCUCAAACGUGCCAUCAAUAAGUAUCGAAGAAUGUACGCCAGUGAACGUGAGUGAAACUGCUUUGCUGGCUCCUGAGGAAAUCUUUGAUAAACAGAAAACUGAAGUGAAAUCUCAGGGAGAGAUGACGAAGCAGGAUCGAAAUCGUGAACGGCGGGGGAAAAAGCGGAAACAACGCUUUGCAGCGAAAGAAAAAGCAAAACUUCAAAAAGUUAUUGAGAAAACUAAUCCAGGUCUUGGGAAUAAAUACGGCAAGGCGAAAGCUCUGGAGUCUCUGAAGAAGGACAAAUCAAGCACGAUUGUCGACGAGAAGAAACGAGACUCUUCUCUGACAUCAUCCUCCGGUUUCUUUACUCAACUACAGGACAGCGUCAAAGAAGAGAUUCAUAAAAAGACCCAAAAUGGAAAGAAAAAGAAGAAGAAUGAGACAACGUCUGCUCAUUGCAGGCUUUGAAAUGAGUGUGAAAGUUGUUAUUGUGAGGUCUAGUACCUCGUUUAACACUAGAUCAGACUCGCUUGACAGGACAUCGUACUUUGCAGUUGGAAAAUGAAAUAAAUGGUGCUUGACAUUACGAUGAUAAUCCGAUCAAAUAAAACGAAAACCUCAGCGUUUGAGAUUUGGUGAGGCGAAUAUAACUUAUGGUAUAGUUCGAGAAAGCUUUUUAGCUGAAAGUGAACAAAUAUAAGAGGAUCUUGUUUGAUGGAUUUUAGUGAUGACGUUUCAGACAUGAAUGGUUAACGUCAUGCACGAAUACAUCAGAAAAUUUACCUCUCCACUGCUCAUCACCACUGACUAUAAACCGUUGCAGGCUCAUAUUCACAACAGUUGGAUUCCGUUUGAGUGGCACCCCCCUGAGCGAUAGCAUUGUGUUUAAUGUUAAUACCACGCUGAUCUCGUUAAUACUUAUUCAAAAACUAUAAUAAUUUUCUAUUAGCCAUAUUUAUAGUCUCUUAAGUACAAAUAUAGAAUCCAAAGUCUGAACCAAGAUAUACGCGAGUGUGUUAUCUUAUCUGUGUCUAGUUUUAAAAUGUGUUUUAAAGACUAGCUUUUGGUUCGUAAUGGUUAGUUCUCUUGUGUUCAUUUUGUCUGGUCUAUGUAUUUUUACUGGAUUGUAUACCUUCACUGCUGCAUGUUCCAUUACGAAUGAAUGCAGCAGCAACAACGAAAUCUGUGCAACGACAGGUUCUUGUGAGUGUAAGAGUGGUUUUAGUCGCAGUAAGAACGGAACGUGUGUUAUUAAAGGGGACGAAGCAAGCUCAAAAUCUCUGUACACAAUCCUUGUUGUAGUACUCUCAACUCUCAUUAUUCUGUUGCUUCUGUCACUUUGUCUUUUUGUCCUUCUUUAUCGCAAGA